UACAGAGGCCAAGAGCGUUGUUCGGAUUUACUGGGCGUAAAGGGCGCGUAGGCGGCAGGGCGUGUCAAGUGUGAAAUCUCCGGGCCCAACCCGGAAAGUGCGCUUGAAACUACCCUGCUUCGAGUCUGGGAGGGGGAAUCGGAAUACAGGGUGUAGCGGUGAAAUGCGUUGAUAUCCUGUAGAACACCGGAGGCGAAGGCGGAUUCCUUGAACAGUACUGACGCUGAGGCACGAAAGCGUGGGGAUCAAA
rnacentral:rRNA from 1 species